CGGAGCCUCUAGUGAGAGCAGCUAAUCCAUUUCUAAGUGGAAAGGAUAUUUAAUAAAGGAAACAAUUUAAACGGGAUUUACACAAUACGCCGCGUGGAAGCGCCAUUUAUUCUGCGGCUUUGUAUUUAAUUUUCGUAUCUCCGUAAACCUCUUCGGAGUGCUCUGUAGGAACGAGCGCCGCUUGGAGCGGGUUCGGCUGCCCAAUAAUUCUUAGCCUGCUGGUUUGUGUUUACCCUACGGGGGAAGCACACGGUGCAUGAUAGUAAGCCAGGAGGGGCAGGGUGAUGCCUGCAGGUGUUAGCUGGGCACCGCCCGACCCUUGCCCAAAACUAAUUCUGUUUUUUAGAGAUUCGUCACACACUUCGCUGCAUGUAGUGCUCUGCUUGUCUGCACUGACUUCACAGAAAGGGGAGAAGAAAGCAGCCCCUGUGCAAGCGUCUCUUAAAUGCCAGGCAGGUUGCUAGAAGCAGUUUUCUUCAUAGCUUUGAGUUUUCUCUGCUCCCAUAAAUGACAAGGUUUGCAAGGCGGUGUGCUAGGCAGCAAUGGCAGUGCCGGGCAUGUUGAGUGCUUGAUGAAUGAGAUGGUUGCGGAAAACCUGGCGGGGUUUCCCCUUGGGAAGCGGUUUGGGACUGUUCCCGAAGCAUUUCUGCUUUCCACAGCAGGGACGUCGUGGUUUGGAAAACAUCGAGUGCGCUGGGAAAGAGCGGAUCCUGAGCUACCUCCUUCAUUUUCCACUCUUGAAUGCUCAUAUCCGACCCCACCUUUAUGCUGACACAUUUGCAAGGAGAAAACCCGUGUCUGCCAAGCACCUCGAGACCUGCACGAUGCCCUCAGUCACUCCAGCAAGGACCACCCAGCAACUCAGGGGAUGUUGUGUUGAGGAAUACCCUGCUUAAUGGAGAUGUCUUGGUGAAAUAGGUGGGUUUUGGGGGGCUCAGUUGGCUUUUAGUUGGCUGUGCUUUAAUUGGGGGCUCGAGGACAAGUUCCUUCUUAAUUCCAGCUUGAGCCUCUCUUUCUUUUAACUUACACCUAGCAUUUCUCAUCUCCCAGUACCCAUCACUAUCACUGUCCAACCUCCCUCUCGAACAAAUUUCCUGGGGCAAAGCAUCCAGUUUGCAGGCUGUUCCUUGCUCCCGCUGCAUGAAAGGACAUUGCAAAUGAA
rnacentral:lncRNA from 1 species